CCUACGGGAGGCAGCAGUGGGGAAUAUUGCACAAUGGGGGAAACCCUGAUGCAGCGACGCCGCGUGAGUGAAGAAGUAUCUCGGUACGUAAAGCUCUAUCAGCAGGAAAGAAAAUGACGGUACCUGACUAAGAAGCCCCGGCUAACUACGUGCCAGCAGCCGCGGUAAUACGUAGGGGGCAAGCGUUAUCCGGAUUUACUGGGUGUACAGGGAGCGUAGGCGGCGCUGCAAGUCCGGAGUGAAAGCCCAAGGCUUAACCAUGGUACUGCUCUGGAAACUGUAGAGCUUGAGGGCGGGAGGGGAAGGCGGAAUUCCUAGGGUAGCGGUGAAAUGCGUAGAUAUUAGGAGGAACACCAGCGGCGAAGGCGGCCUGCUGGACCGUAACUGACGUUGAGGCUCGAAAGCGUGGGGAGCAAACAGGAUGAGAUACCCGGGUAGUC
rnacentral:rRNA from 1 species